rnacentral:sRNA from 1 species
UAGAGGUGUCCGUGACGAUAUUGGUUGA